CUUUUUCCACCCAGAGCUACUCCCCUGCUCAUAAUGUCUCAGUCUGCACACGAUGAAAUUAUCCCAUGAUCCACAAAACAAGAAAAUAAAAUAAUGUGAAAAUACUCA